rnacentral:lncRNA from 1 species
GGGGUUGUAUGACGGUAUUCUGGAUUAAGUGAUUAAUUGAUUGCUAUUAUAUGAAUGACAGACUGAUUAUUAAUUAAUUACAUGAUGUCAUUUUUUGUAAAUGUCAAGUAUCUGAAAUGGUUAUAUGUUUAGUAAUAAUUUGGUGCCCUUCGGCUGUUAUCUACUCUAUGGACGGGUUGUUGUCUCUUUGACACAUUCUUCA